rnacentral:lncRNA from 1 species
AGUUCUCAUUGUGACCCAGGGACCAUUACAGUAAAAGGAACCUGCCUAGGGAACUUGCUCAGCUCUCUCUAAACACAGUCAGCUCCAUGUUCCCAACUGAAUGUCACGUCAAUGCGUCGAUGUUAAUUCCGGUAAACUGAAUCCACCCGAGAAUCUUGUUGUGGAAGCAAAAUCGGCUUAAAAGGCUUCUUUGAUGCACAGGGAAUUCUCACAAGCAAUAAAUUAAAAAUAAUCAACGAGUUAUUUUAUAUAAUCUGUAUAUAAUAUAAAGUAAUUGUGUCCAUAAAUAACGAGGCAGUUAAACAGGAAAAGAAAGGAUUUUUACCUGACGUUCACAUCGCUUCACAAGGUUUAGUGGAUUCAGAAGGACAUCUGGACUCCAGGAAAAUUUAAGCGUAGCAUUUUGAGACUUCCCUAAGGCCCCCUUCUCUAGUACGCAAUCGCGGAUUCACCAGCUUGAGUCAGUUGGCCUCAGUUUUGCUUUUGGAGGUUUAAGUCGGGUGGUGGGAAGAGAUACAUUUCCAUUCCUGAUAUGGCCACAAGAGGGAGCUCCCAAUGGUCGGCUGCACCUGAAAGUCCUGUCCGUGAAAACUGACAAAGAAAACUUGAUUUAAAAGGCGUCUUCUGAUAAACCUCAGCAUCUCCUUACUAACAUACUAAGAGCAAUCACUGAACACUUUUCGUAUGUUCAAUGCGUCCUCGCGGGAUCUGAGAAGCAUUGUCCUAUUAAAUCUCAGUCGUCUGAUUUUCAGCAUCAAUUUAUCUUGGGAGCUGCUCCUGCAUUUUAUAAGGUGAAUUCUACAGCAACGAGAUUAAAGAUUCAGAAAGUCUUAUUGGCUGUGCAAACUUGAGGGAGUUGCCUAACCACUCUGGGCCCUGUUUUCCUGGCUUUGCCACUCUUCAGCUGUGUGACCCGGGGAAGCUCUCAACCUCUUUGUGCCUCCAUUUCCACAUCUGUAAAAUGGGGAUAUGAAAGUGGCUGCUUUGUGAAGAGUCCUGAGAAUAAAUGAGUUAAGGAAAACUGAUAUGGAUAAAUAUGGAAGAGAGCUGGCCAGUGGAUGAAAUGGUGAUGUAAAGGUUAAGAGAAAUAAAAGCAGGAGACGAGGAGAGAGUCACACCACGGUGAGCAGAGAGUUGAGCUGGGGCCCGGGACAAGCAUCAAAAGUGUCACUUCCUCUGAGGUCCCAACCCUACUUCCAUAGGCUCUGCAGCCCACACCACCUUGGAACCAAACAGGGAGGUGGCAGAACUGAUGGGCUGGCCGCACCACCUUAAAUCUCUUAGCUCCAAAACUGGAGGUGCUCAUCAGGACCCUGCAUCAUUUCUGUGGGUGAUGGAUGGUGUGAGCUGCGAAGGAGAGGCUGAUACCUCUGCAGAAGAAUCAGGAAGCCAGCUUAAGAGGUUUUCUUUAGGUGGCAUGCAAAUAGACUCCCCUCCUGCAGAUCUUCAUCUCACCUUCAUUAUACCCCAGGCCAGAGAAAUUUCCAUCAUGAGCACUCCUGACCGCCAAACCUCUGGCAUCCCAUGCUGAUUUCUUUCCUAAAAAUACACAGACUCUCACUCCAUGGGGAAGAAAAAAUGCAACUCUGCCAUUUCCAGUGUGCUUCCUGAAGGCUGAUGACGGCCGAGAGCAAUUCAUCACCACUCGUGCAUUCAGGUUUUGAAUUUUUCCUUCACAGAUCUCUUCUUGUUUAUCUGGUGGACAAUGUGACAAGAACCAGAUGUGUCUCAACCUCAACAUCCUCCCCAUAGCUAUGCAGGGGGAGAAACAACCAGACCAGCUAGAUAUCCUCCUUAGUACAACAGAAAACUAUCCAAAAUUUCUGGACCACUUUCAAGAGUGGGGCCUUGAAUGUAAAAAGAGUGGGGCAUGCAAUUGCAUGUUUGUUAAUUGUUAAAUGGACCAGUUGAUUGAAUGGUGUCUAUUCAGUAUGAUUUUUCUUCUGGCUAUGCAUAUUUUAUUGCACUUUUUACUUUAUCUCAAGGUGCUGCCAAAUUCAAAAUCAUGCUAGAAAUGAAAGUCUUUCUCUGGGAGAGUAUAGCAGGGUGUCUUAGAAAGAAAAUACAAUGUCUGCUGAUCAGAGGGAAAGUUAUUGCUUUGCCAGUCCCUAUUGGAUAACCAUGGCAGGCAAUUCAUAUAGUUUUCAUGUCUAUUUCCUUCUCUCUGAAAUUAGAAUAAUACCUGCCCUGCAAUAAACUUCAGAGCUAUUUAUGAACAAAUGAGGUGAGUACUAAUGUGCAUUGGAAAAAUAUAAAGCUUUGCUAAAUGUAAGGUGGCCUUAUCAUCCACUGUCCAAUAACACAGUGCUCUUCAUGUCUAAGAGUUAUUUUUAGAGUCUUGAUAAUAGACCCAUUCCCGACCCCAUGGAGUAUGGGGACAAGCCCCCUUUAAGGAAAGGCCUUAAAGCCACAUGGCCGCACAGAGGGAUCAGUCCAGGAGCCUCGCCACAAAGUUCAUAAAGAAGAAAUAAGCUGAGCAGACGACCACCCAGUGGGUGAUGGGAGGGAAAGUAGAAGAAAGAUCCACCCCCUCCUUCAAGCUGAUCUCCACUGGGGACGGUCCACAUAUUUCUCUGCUUUGCAUUUUUGCUGUUGCUUGGUUGGUUUUUUGUUUUACAUUAUUACUGGAAGAAUGCUUCUUGCAGAAGUUGUUUAAAACUUCAGGGAUUCUUGGGAUGGAGCAGUAAGAUUAAUGAAGCAAAGAUAUCACCACCCCGUGCCAAGAACAUCUAUGCUCCUUUAGUAAGUUGGCCAGAACAAAUAUCUCCUUCCACAGCACAGGCGCUCUGUAGACUACAGGCUUUAGUCUUGUAUAAAAUAACAUUAUAAAAAAGGAAAACCUGAUUGCAGUUGAGUGGGUCACCCCCUUCUCACACCCCACCCAUCACCUGUUUAGAUCGUUCUUUCACCUCCUAAUUCCCCAUCUGGACUCAACAGCUCUCCCCAUCCUAAGCCCAGCAUCCUGUGUUUCCUGGUUUCCCAGAAUCUGGCAAUGUGAGCAGAAUAGUGAGUGCAGGGGGUCAGUCGCUCAUUUACCCUCAGAGGGGCAGCUGGGAAUGUGAUACCUCUCUGCAGUAGCAACACUGUGAAAAGAUGCCACCUUGCCAUCUCUACAGGUGGCUGGAAUUGGGAACAUCACUUUGAUCUGGCAUAGUUGCUGGGACUGUCUAAAUAUCUCCUACAGUUUGCCAAGUACCCAUUUUUCUGCCCAGGUUUAUCUGAGUGGUUCCAUGCAACAGAAAGAAUAGCUUGCCAUCUUUAGGACUGGAGGAAUGGCAAAGCUCUUUCCCUUUCAGCCUCCAAUGGGGGGACCUGGGCAUUUGUAGCCUGUUCAAAGAAACCAAGAGGGAAAAAAAAGUGCAGAAGAAAAGUAAUUUGCACUUAAAAAUGAAAACAAACCACUUUUCUCCUGUUUGCUUGGUAUUUUGCAGAAGUUUCAAGUAACAACACUACUAUGCGUGGGUGAGUUCGUUCAUUAAAAUCCGUGGUUUCUGAGGCUAGAAGCCUCAGCCUACAGUCCCAGAAUGUACCCAAGAGUGCUGAUGUAACAUCAAUGCUUCAUUCUCUGAGUGCUAUUUAUUGUCUCAAUCUUCAUUGCUUAAAGUCAGGAAACAACAAACACAUUCAUAUUUGUGGCAAAACAUCUACCUACUCAUGACAUGGCAAAUAGUCAUUUUACAAUAACAAUACAGUACAAUAUGAUCGUGCUACUUUCAUGGCUAGGAAUGAAGUUGUUGGGUUUCUCUUUCAGAGCUACCCCUAAAGGCAUUCACUUUAUAUUCUCUGAAGAGAACCAGCUAACCAGGCGGAACAUCCACUAAGAAUCUUCCACAUAACCAGACCCCAGGAGCUUGCCUAUUGCCCAUACCAGAGAGGCCCAUUUGGAAAUACACCAUCUGGUCUCUUGAGCACAGACCUGGAGUGUGGGAUUCAGCUUGGCUGGCUCCAAAGCUGGCCCCUACUGAUCAGCCUGAGAUCCCCAGCCUGCACAGGCUGAUUCCACUGCCAACACGUGGCCCCAUGUGGGUCCUGGCGGGGGUUCCUUUGGUAAAGUACUGGGAGAGGAAGGAGUCUUCCUAUCUGAGUAUCUUGGGUUGUGAUUUGGUGUGGGCUGCACUGGCAGUGCAAUAGCAGCAACUCAACAAAACAGGACUGUUACACAAGCGGGGCGGAAGGCAGGUGGGCUGGCAGGGAAGUUGGUAUUCGAUUACUUGAAAUAUUAAGUUGUCCAGAGGGCAAGGACACGCACAAAUCAAAGGGCCACCUCUAGGUUUCAAAGCAGGUCGAGAUCUGUGUAAAGUCCCCUUUGACUUCAUAAAAUCUCACUUCAAAAAUUCUACCGAAUGCUCAUCAGACGGAAAUAACUGUUUCAUCCCUCUAAAGGAUGAAAUGAAAAGCACCAGUCUUUGGCCUGCCUGCUGGUUACCCACAAACUCAACGGGUGGGUUCUGAGAAGCAGAUGAGCCAUGAAGAGCAUCAAACAAGCAUUACUGCUCUGGCCACCACCAGGGUCACCUUUGAACCGUAAGAAAGAGGGAAAAACUCCUUUGAGUCACUCCUGGGCCUACAGCCUGUGCUGGGUCUAGACAUGUGUCACCAGAGUAUUGUCUUUGUGGCAGAGGAAGCAAUGUCAAACACUAAAUUGUUAACAUAUCCAUGACAAGCAUUCAUAUGAGCCAACAAAAUCACCAAGGUUCUGCUAUUAAGGAGGAUUCAGGAAGACUGGGCAUUACUUUCAGGAAACUGGGAUGACUCAAAAUAGCACUGCUGAGUGUUACAAGAUUUUUAAACUAAUAAUCAGCAAAUCUUUUCAGCAGACUUUUGGCUUUAAGAGUUCUUACCAAAAAGAUUGCUAAAGUGGAAUGAGAGGGGCUCAAAGUUUUUUUUUAUUUCAUUAUAAGUGCUGUCCCAUCUUAUCCAAUUGUCUUCUUCCUCAUCAAAAAGCGGGGGGGAAGCAUAUUACAUUUCUAGAUGAUAAGAGUAAAUGCUGUACUCUUUUCUCAGAAAUUACAGGCUUUAAGAUUUUUUUUUAAAUGGUAGAAUGGGCAUGUCAUGCAGUUAGCCAAUAAAUGCAAUCCCUGAUUAAAAUGUGAGUUCUAAAAGUUUGAAAACAUCUAACUAUUUCAGUGCUUUUUAAUUUCAGAGCUCUGAGCCUGGCUUUGAUUUGUUUGUUGAUUUUUCUUGGUCCUCUUUUGUGAGAGCUAAUGCUACAUUUCUCUUAGUUUCACCCACCACACCUUCACAAACUUAAGUCAACAAUUAUAUGUUCAAAAAUCUUUGUUUUCCCUUUGAAACUGGAUGCAAAAAAGAAAUCUCUCCUGUCGGUGGAGACAGCUGUGAAUGAACGAGGCGCCUGCACGUAAAUCUCCUUAAACUUUUUGAAUAGCUGCUUCUCUUUAUCCCACUGGUAUAUCUGAGAGAAUGUAUAGUCACUCCCCAGGGCCAGGUAGUGAUUAUCUUUAAAAGAAAAGGGCUGCAGGGUCAUGGCCCCCCGGGAUGGAAGAGCUUGGAUCUCCACAAACUGCUUACUGUUCCACCUCAUGACCCGGGAGUCCCCGAUGAAGCGGGUAAGGGAAAGGUAGAGGGUAUUUUGCAUUCGGAAGCUCUUCACAGCCAGUACGUCCUCCAUGUUGGGGAUGUCACCAUGGGGGACAAACUUCUUAGAGCUUUUAUUCCACUGGAGGAUGAUGGGGACCUGGGAGCGGCUGGACAGGAUGAGAUGCGAUUUUCCAUCGAUAUCAACAAACUCCGCAUCCGUGUCCCUGAACCACUCGUGCAGUGACUGGUAAGAAUAGAAUCCUUUGCUGUUCCAUUUAUAAACUGUGGACAGACCAGCCUUUGAGCUGUCUGCGAUGACAAAGAACGUCUCGUCGUCGAUCUGAAACAGCUCGAUGUCAUUGGGCUUGGAAAUGCGAGAGACCUCUAUGUCUUGGAAUUUGACAAAUUUGGUCCAACUCUCGUCGUAUUUGUAAAUGUGAGAGCCACCGAAGAGCUGGGCUACCACCACAAAGACCUGAUCAUCGAUGAGAAUGGCCUUACAGCCCACGAUGGACUGACCUGUGCUCCAAAAUAAAGGAGAGGACAUUAGUGCAACUACAGCUAAAAACGCAUCUCCGCUUGUACUCUUAUACACUGCUGGUGGGAGUGUGAAAUGGCACAGCCACUAUGGAAAACAGUAUGGUGGUUCCUUGAAAAAUUAAACAUGGAAUUACCCUAUGAGCCAGCAAUUCCACUUCUUUGUAUAUACCCAAAAUAAUUGAAAGCAGUGACUCAAAGAGAUAUCUGUACACCUAAUGCUAUAGACCAAAUGUUUGUGCUCUCUCCAAAUGCAUAUGAUGAAACCUCAUCUCCAAUGUGAUGGUAUUUGGUGGUGGGGCCUUUGGGAGGUGAUUAGGUCAUGGGAGCAGAGUCCUCAGGAAUGGGAUUAGUGCCUUCCAACUCCCUCUGCCCUUUCACCACAUAGACACAGCAAAGAGGUGGCCAGCUAUGCAGUGGGUUCUUGCCACAUACCAAAUCUGCCAAUGUCUUGAUCUUGGACUUCCCAGGCC